UACGGGGGGAGCAAGCGUUGUUCGGAUUUACUGGGCGUAAAGGGCGCGUAGGCGGCCACCGCAAGUCGGUUGUGAAAUCUCCGGGCUUAACCCGGAAAGGUCAAUCGAUACUGCGGGGCUAGAGUGCAGAAGGGGCAACUGGAAUUCUCGGUGUAGCGGUGAAAUGCGUAGAUAUCGAGAGGAACACCUGCGGCGAAGGCGGGAUUGCUGGGCUGACACUGACGCUGAAGCGCGAAAGCUAGGGGAGCGAACGGG
rnacentral:rRNA from 1 species